rnacentral:misc_RNA from 1 species
UUAAGUUCAGCGGGUAGUCCUACCUGAUUUGAGGUCAAGAUAUGAUGAAUAUGUCCCCCAAGAGGGACUGUUAGAAGCAUACUCUCGUGCGAUCCCCGACACGGCAUAGAUAAUUAUCAUACCGAGGGGCGUUCGAUCGGCUGAGGCAACGCUAACACAUUUAAAGGGAGCCGAUUGAACAACCGGCAAACCCUCACAUC